CGUAAACGAGCAUAUUAGAGUGAUUUCUCCCUCGGUAAAAGUAACAAUGGCAUGGCCGACAAUUUUAAUCCAGACGAACGGAUCCUGAACUAGAACCAUGGUUAGGUAUUGCUAGUUUCAGCUUAGCACUCGGAUAAUUACUUCGUUUAAGUUACUUUGUUGUUGACCAUGGCAUAUCUUCCCCGGUAUUUGACCUCUCAGAACUGGUUAAGCUUUCUAGUAAACCACAUCAACUUUAUUGUCUUAACCUUGAACAAACCAGUUCAUUCCCUUUGAGUUAGUUUAAGUAUUGACAGAGUUAUCUUAGAAAAGGAAGAAAAAAAACAGAUUUAUAAGUCAAUUCUGGUAAGGUUCCGAGGAAAAGCGGUACGUAUUUGAUUUGGUUGUUGAUUCUAUUCGUGCUUUUAGUUUCGAAGCUAUUUUUGCCUAUGUGGGUUAUGCAGCUUUGAGUAACGGGUUCCCAUAUCUUUCUCCCAAAGGUGUAGUUUUUGUUGUUUUUGCUCGCGUUUGUAUAUUAUCGCAUAAGCCUUAACAUGGGUUCGGGGAGGGUACCCAAGAUAUGGGCUAAGUAUUGAUCUUUCGAAGAGACCAGGAAGUGAUUGGCCCCGAUUUUCAGGACUUUAGCUUUUACGGUUUUAUCCUUAUUCCGAACGAUAAUAAUCUUUACAGGUUUUUUAUAGUAUAAGCACUUCGUCUUUGUAUUACAUGAGGGUAAUUACACCUUAUCCGACUUGAAUUUAAUCAGUUAAGUUAAGUCGUAACAGUUAAAUAGGUCUUGAAGAGAGAAAAGGAGCCACUUUGUUCUUAGAAAAAACAAGUUUGUUUUCGCGAAUCAAAUCGGAAACAAAGGAGACACGACGUAGAAGAAAUUUCUAAGUAGGUUACCUUAGGGUUGAGGGAAAGAAAACCUAAAGGUAAGAUAAAUCUAUACCACAUACAUCUAGAUUAAGAAUAUAUUUCUUUUGAAAGAGCAAAGUGAAACAGAGCGAAAGAGAUCUUAGAGAUCUUUUUUCUUAUCGAGAUAGGAAAUAAAUUAUAAAUUAUUAUUUUAUUAUUCUCUGAUAAUUUAUUUUUACUCUUAUGAUGAUUUAAUCUUGGAUUAAUUCUAUCAUCCUGAUUAGAUACGUCAUAUUAAUUACUCUUCAUUAUGAUAUUUUAUUUUUAUUUCUUGAGAUAAAGUCUUGAUACUCUGUCUUAUAAGACAAAAGAAUAAAUGAGAAAUGAAAUAAAAAAGAUAAAUUUC
rnacentral:rRNA from 1 species